CUUACACUUACUUAUGUUGAUGAAGAUGGUGACAUAGUAACUCUUGUUGAUGAUGAUGAUCUGUGUGAUGUAAUGAGGCAGCGUCUUAAGUUCUUGAGGAUUGAUGUGCACCUGAACAAUGACAAAUUUGGUAAAGCUUAUGCUAGAUCAAGUGGAAGUUCUACUCCCUUGAGAUCCCCGCGAAUCCAGCAUCCAUUACCUGACAUCGACAGUAAGAUUUCUGAAAUUCUGAAAUCUGUGCCAGAGCCACUGCGUGAAGCCAUAUCAAAGCUAUCUACUGACGUUGCUUCAAAGGCUGCAUCCACCAGUCCAAUGAUUGCUGAUCUUGUUGGGUGUUUUUCAAAAAUGGGCCUGUCCCACGUGAAUGUAGUUCCCCAGUCCCAAUAUGGUGCAGAAUCAAGUGGGAAGGCAGAGGCUUCUGAAAAUCUAAUGGCUCAUUCAGUUUCUAAUGAUCCAAAUGUGUCAAAAGAUGAUGGCCUGAGGGAAGUUUUGCCAAAGACAAACCUGAAGGAAGUUUUUCCAAAGACAAGCCUGAAGGAAGUUUUGCCAAAGACAACAGCUGUGGAUUCAACUUCUAAAAGUAGCAAAGAUGUUGAUAUUGGGAUUGCAGCUCGAGGCGUAGGAGUACUUCUCUCUUCUGUUGACCUCAAUCUUCCACCGGUUGAUUCUGCUCCAU
rnacentral:lncRNA from 1 species